CAAAUAUCAACAUCUAAGUCCAGUACAUUGGUUUAGCAUAGGGACAAAGCUUUGAAAAACUUUUUGGUGGUGCUGCUAAAACUUUACCCAAAAAUGGUAAAGUUAAAAUCAAAUCAAAAUCUGAAGUGACUUAAAAACAAAGAGCAACAGCCAUGUUAUUAUUUUUGUGCAAGUAGAAUGACUUGUUGAAGCUACACUAUUUCAACCACUAUCAUUCAGAAAAAAACGAAAAAAAUAGAGAAGAAGAAGAAGAAGAACCCAGCUGGCUUAAUGUUCAAGAGUUGAUUCUCUCCACUAGCUUAAGUUUUGGAAGCAUUAUCCCAUACAUAAGGAUGUAAUCAACUAAAAAUUGAGGUGAGAGAAAGAGAGUGAAAAUUGAGAGCAUCAUCUCAUAUAUGUUGCAGAAUUAUUUAUUUAUUUUUUUUUUUAGUUUCAUUUAAGAUUUUAUUGUUAUAAUUU